rnacentral:rRNA from 1 species
UACGCGAAGAACCUUACCAGGUCUUGACAUCCAGUGCAAACCUAAGAGAUUAGGUGUUCCCUUCGGGGACGCUGAGACAGGUGGUGCAUGGCUGUCGUCAGCUCGUGUCGUGAGAUGUUGGGUUAAGUCCCGCAACGAGCGCAACCCUUGUCAUUAGUUGCCAUCAUUAAGUUGGGCACUCUAAUGAGACUGCCGGUGACAAACCGGAGGAAGGUGGGGAUGACGUCAAGUCAUCAUGCCCCUUAUGACCUGGGCUACACACGUGCUACAAUGGACGGUACAACGAGAAGCGAACCUGUGAAGGCAAGCGGAUCUCUGAAAGCCGUUCUCAGUUCGGACUGUAGGCUGCAACUCGCCUACACGAAGCUGGAAUCGCUAGUAAUCGCGGAUCAGCACGCCGCGGUGAAUACGUUCCCGGGCCUUGUACACACCGCCCGU